rnacentral:rRNA from 1 species
GGGCCCGCACAAGCGGUGGAGUAUGUGGUUUAAUUCGAUGAUACGCGAGGAACCUUACCAGGUCUUAAAUGCAUAACGAACGAUUGGGAAACCAAUUUUUCUUCGGACGGAAUGCAAGGUGCUGCAUGGUUGUCGUCAGCUCGUGCCGUGAGGUGUCAGGUUAAGUCCUAUAACGAGCGCAACCCCUAUUCUUAGUUGCCAGCGGUUCGGCCGGGGACUCUAAGAAAACUGCCAGUGCAAGCUGUGAGGAAAGUGGGGAUGACGUCAAAUCAUCACGGCCCUUACGACCUGGGCCACACACGUGCUACAAUGGUAGGUACAAAGGGCAGCCACUUGGCGACAAGGAGCUAAUCUCUAAAACCUAUCUCAGUUCGGAUUGGAGUCUGCAACUCGACUCCAUGAAGUUGGAAUC